AGUGGUUUGUACUACUUGUAUUUAGAUUUACGGAUUUUUCAUGAAAUACCCCUGAAUUUUUGCAAAAUUCACCAAAUGCCCCUCGACUUUCAGAAAUUCACCAAAUGCCCUCCACUUUUUAACAAAUACACAAGAUACCCUUAAUGAGCAUUUUCUGUCAAUUCUGUUAGAUUACCGUCAACUUUACCCCUAAUUAACUCUAUUAUUCCUAACUUAUCUAAUUAUCCUAAUUAAAUUAAAAAUAGAAAAUAAAAAAUCCCUUGUGUUUUUCUCUCUCUACCGUUCAUUCUCUUUCCCAAAUGAAAACCAUGGCAGCCAUGGCAGUCACCACCAUGGUCAUCCCCUUUCUCUCUCCUCAUCCCCUUCACUACCCCUAUUCCUAUUCCUCUCCCCUUCACCAACCUAUGAAAAUAAACAGACCCAAUUCGCAGAGCCUUAUAUACGGGAUUUGAUCUGGUGCAUCACAACUCCAUCAAACAAGGUCUUCAUCCCUCUGAUUGUAUCAUCACCAUCGUUAAUCGUGAAUUUCCAUAUGUUGUUGUUUUCAUGGUUGUUGCUUAUAAGUUUGCGGUGGUGAAUAUGUUGCCAGAAACUGUAACAGUGAUACUAAAAUUGGAGGUGGGGCUGCAUUGAAGACCCGCUUGCCGCGGCUGUUACGGCUGUGCUCCGAUCGAUUUUCGUCUUCCCCUGCUUUUUCCGCCGAUGCACCUCCUCUCCUUCUCAAUUUUUCGGCACCGCCGCAGCAGGGAAAGAGGAGAGGAAGCUCAGAAAAUCAGAGAAGUUGCAGAGGCAGGCACAUGCGAGGUAGGAGACGACAGUAGACAUAUCGAUGGUGUGGCAGGGAUUAGACAUCCAUGGAAGAAGGAGAAAGGGAAGAUCCAUGGAAGAAAGAGAAAGGGAAGAUAAAAGGGGCGAGGAGGAAGGUUAGUGGUGGGUUGGCAGUUGAUUUUUUUAAUAGUAAAUUAGAUUAAUUAGGAGUUAAUUAGUUUAGUUAAGAAAAAAGUUAACGGAAAAGUUAACGGAGCUGACGGAAAAUCUUCAUUAAUGGCAUAUUGUGUAUUAAGUUUAUGAAUAAGGGUAUCUUGUGCAUUUGUUAAAAAGUGGAGGGCAUUUGGUGAAUUUCUGAAAGUCGGGGGGCAUUUGGUGAAUUUUGCAAAAAUUCAGGGGUAUUUCAUGAAAAAUCCGUUAGAUUUAAGUUUCUUUAGGGCUCAAAGAAUAUCUUCUCAAAAAUUUUCUCUCUCCUCUUCAUCUACUCUUCCAUUACUUAUCCUAAUCUCUACAGUCAUAUUGUAGUACAGACUACCUCCAUACUUAGGGCUCCUCUUACAGUGCAUCAAGUUUCUAUUGUGUUUGAAACUUUCAAAGACGCUUAUGAUUGGUAUUAGCGUAGCAAUAUUGAGUACAUGAUCCAUGUAUAGGAUGUGAGUAGGGUUGUCAAAACCUAACCUAAUCCAACUCAUUUCUGACAAAAAUCGAAUAACCGACUUGUAACCGACCGAUGACCCGAUUUGAUAGCCUUAGAUGUGAGCGCCACGAGUUUUUGUGCAUGGACUAGGGCCCGCACAAAUCUGGACCUUAUGCUGAAUCAUCUAUACCAAGCCUCAACAUCGAGGGCAUAGGCAAGGUUCAAUUUGCCCCAAUUGCGAAUUCCAUUUUUUUAUUUUGCCAAGUACUAAACAUAUUUUCCAACGUGGCACAGAAGUUGGAAAAUUUUGACAAAAUUACAAAAAAAAUUGCACGAAUUAGGGAUAAAAUAUACUUUUACACUAUACUAAGAUAACUUUUAAACAUCUUUAUUUAAAUUUUACUUCAAUGUACCAUAUUUGUUAUAAAAAAUCUGUGCUAAUUUUAUAGUUCGUACUUCUUGUUUAUCAGUGGCGCGGUAUUACAAGUGUGCGUGUCUAGAAUGGUUCAAAAUGGCAACUUCUUUUUGCAAUUUGUGCCGCUGCUAACCUCCAAUACCUUUUCUACUGCAAUUUAUUUCUAGUAGUGUUAGUGUAGACUACUAUUCUGGUCAUCAAGUUGGUUUUUUACAGUUGUACUGCAAUCUAUAUUUAUGUUUCAUGAUAUUGUACGAACAUUUGUACUGCAUUUGAUUUUGAAUAAUGCAUUAAUUCCUAUAUUAUUUUCA